rnacentral:lncRNA from 1 species
GUUUGCUUGAGAAAGUUUGCUGUAAUUGUAAUAAAGCUUGUGUUAACGAUAAUGAUAUGCAAAUGAAAGUACAGCUAAAAGACGGGAGGAGAGGAGGUGGCGAUGUCUCGCCUGUUGGUCUGUUGUGUGUUGUUCACUCACUCCUUGUGGAUGGUUUGUCUGAAUGUACAACUUGUUUAUGUGGAUAACUCUCUACCUUUGAAUGGUGAAUUACUGUUAUGUGGAAUUGAAGUUUGUUUUAAGAAUUAUUUGUUACAAGCAAUAUUUCAGUCUUGUAAGUUGUUUUUUUUUAGUUUACUAAUAAAAAGUUAAAA